GACAUGCAAGUCGAACGAAAAGAGUGAUAGUUUACUAGAGCUCUUUUAGUGGCGGACGGGUUAGUAACACGUGAGUAACUUGCCUCAGAGUGGGGGAUAGUCCUGGGAAACUGGGUUUAAUACCGCAUACGACCUUCGGGUUAAAGCUAGCUUCGGCUGGUGCUUUGAGAUAGGCUCGCGUCCUAUCAGCUAGUUGGUGAGGUAAAAGCUCACCAAGGCGACGACGGGUAGUUGGUCUGAGAGGACGAUCAGCAACACUGGAACUGAGACACGGUCCAGACACCUACGGGUGGCAGCAGUCGAGAAUCAUUCACAAUGGGGGCAACCCUGAUGGUGCAACGCCGCGUGGAGGAUGAAGGACCUAGGUUCGUAAACUCCUGUCAUAAUAGAGUAAGACAUAAUCGUUAAUAGCUUUUAUGUUUGAUAGUAUAUUAAGAGGAAGGGACGGCUAACUUCGUGCCAGCAGCCGCGGUAAUACGAAGGUCCCGAGCGUUAUUCGGAAUAACUGGGCGUAAAGGGAGCGUAGGCGGCUUGGUAAGUCAGAUGUGAAAGCCCAGGGCUCAACCCUGGAACUGCAUUCGAUACUGCCAGGCUAGAGUAAUGGAGAGGUAAGCGGAAUUUUCGGUGUAGCAGUGAAAUGCGUAGAUAUCGAAAGGAAGACCAAUGGCGAAGGCAGCUUACUGGACAUUUACUGACGCUGAGGCUCGAAGGCUAGGGUAGCGAAAGGGAUUAGAUACCCCUGUAGUCCUAGCAGUAAACGAUGUGCGCUUGGUGUGGGGAGGUUCGACCCUCUCUGUGCCGGAGCUAACGCGUUAAGCGCACCGCCUGGGGAGUACGGCCGCAAGGC
rnacentral:rRNA from 1 species